UAGCUCAACGGUUAGAGCACCGCACUCAUAAUGCGUAGGUUCCAGGUUCGAAUCCU
rnacentral:tRNA from 1 species